rnacentral:rRNA from 1 species
UCCAGACUCCUACGGGAGGCAGCAGUGAGGAAUAUUGGUCAAUGGCCGAGAGGCUGAACCAGCCAAGUCGCGUGAGGGAUGACGGCCCUACGGGUUGUAAACCUCUUUUGUCGGGGAGCAAAGAGAGUCACGUGUGGCUCAUUGAGAGUACCCGAAGAAAAAGCAUCGGCUAACUCCGUGCCAGCAGCCGCGGUAAUACGGAGGAUGCGAGCGUUAUCCGGAUUUAUUGGGUUUAAAGGGUGCGUAGGCGGACGCUUAAGUCAGCGGUAAAAUUGCGGGGCUCAACCUCGUCGAGCCGUUGAAACUGGGUGCCUUGGGUGGGCGAGAAGUACGCGGAAUGCGUGGUGUAGCGGUGAAAUGCAUAGAUAUCACGCAGAACUCCGAUUGCGAAGGCAGCAUACCGGCGCCCAACUGACGCUGAAGCACGAAAGCGUGGGUAUCGAACAGGAUUAGAUACCCCAGUA